rnacentral:lncRNA from 1 species
AAAAAAAAUUUUUGAGGAAAAAAAAAAUUUGAGGAAAAAAAAUUUUAAGGAAAAAAAAAUUUUGAGGAAAAAAAAAUUUGAAGGAAAAAAAAAAUUCAGUUUGGACUUGUAAUAUUUUUCAAAAUUUGAAUAUCGAAAAAGGAAAUGGAAACCGAAUAAGGAAAUGAAAAUCGAAAAAGGUUAUAGAAACCGAAUAAGGAAAUAGAAACCGAAAAAGGAAAUGAAUAUUGAAAAAAGAAAAAGAAACCGAAUAAGGAAAAAGAAACCGAAUAAGGAAAUGGAAAUUGAAUAAGGAAAUGAAAAUCCAAUAAGGAAAUAGAAACCGAAUAAGGAACUAGAAACCGAAAAAGGAAAUGAAUAUUGAAAAAGGAAAAAGAAACCGAAUUAGGAAAUGAAAAUCGAAUAAGGAAAUGGAAAUCAAAUAAGGAAACGAAAAUCCAAUUAGGAAAUAGAACCCGAAUAAGGAAAUAGAAACCGAAAAAAGGAAAUGAAUAUUGAAAAAGGAAAAAGAAACCGAAUAAGGAAAUGAAAAUCGAAUAAGGAAAUGGAAAUCGAAUAAGGAAAUGAAAAUCCAAUAAGGAAAUAGAAACUGAAUAAGGAAAUAGAAACCGAAUAAGGAAAUGAAUAUUGAAAAAGGAAAAAGAAACCGAAUAAGGAAAUGAAAAUUGAAUAAGGAAAUGGAAAUCGAAUAAGGAAAUGAAAAUCCAAUAAGGAAAUAGAAACCGAAUAAGGAAAUAGGAACCGAAAAAGGAAAUGAAUAUUGAAAAAGGAAGAAGAAACCGAAUAAGGAAAAGAAAAUCGAAUAAGGAAAUGAAAAUCGAAUAAGGAAAUGGAAAUCAAAUAAGGAUGAUAAUCGAAAAAGGAAAAAGAAAACGAAUAAGGAAAUGACAAAAAAAUUUGAAGAAAAACUUUUUGAGGAAAAAUAUUUUGAGGAAAAAAAAAUUUGAGGAAAUUUUUUUUGAGGAAAUAAAAAUUGAGGAAAAAAAAAUUGAGGAAAAAAAAAUUUUGAGGAAAAAAAAAUUUUGAGGAAAAAAAAAAUUUGAGGAAAAAAAUUUUGAGGAAAAAAAAAUUUUGAGGAAAAAAAUUUUGAAGGAAAAAAAAAAUUCAGUUUGGACUUGUAAUAUUUUCAAAAUUUGAAUAUCGAAAAAGGAAAAAGGAAAAAGGAAC